rnacentral:lncRNA from 1 species
GGUAUAUCAAUCACAUUCAGACCCCCUGCUGUCUUGGGCUUAAAGUCAUUGCUCCCUUCCAUGAGAAAGUUCUACUCACUGUUGUAACCAUAGUAAUGAUCUUCUUUGGUAACAGGAACAUUUGGGACCAAUAUGUUUGUAUUUGAAACAGAACACUCUUCACUAGCAUCUUUGUGACUGAAUGCUCUGCAUUUUAACAUUUCUUAUUCUCCUAUUAGUGU